UGCUUAUAUCCGCUGGUGGUGUGCAUUUUGAAUAUCGGUAGUAUAGAGAAAAAGUUUGGUGGUUUAUUUGAUAAAGGUUUUUGCAAGAACAUAAAUACCCAUCGUUGUGAGUAAGUGAUUUCUUGCUGUGAAUACAUAAGUAAUAAAAAAAACAACAAAAAAAAACACAUACUGUUUGAACAGAGAGCAUCGCUUUUCACUAAUAAAGUGGAC